AUGACGCUGGAAAAGCUGAAAAGCUGCGCCAAAAAGAGGACCCCCACCCCUCGGAUCGUCCUCUUCACACCCCCCCUUUUCAAGUCUUCUUCUUCAGAAUUUCCUUAGAACACCCAUCAACGGGAACCUUCAGCAGCACCAAACCUAACACAAGCCAUGCCACCUUCACAAAAUCAGUAGCGCCGCAUUUGAGCAAAACCAAAUGACACCCCUUCCCCAACGUCUCUCCUUCUUCUUUCACACACACGCAGCUGAUCUAAUUCCCAAACUUUCCGGAAACCAUCCCUGAAAAGCCAUGAAAAUCGGUCAAUAAUUUCAGUUUUGGAACGCAAUCAAACAGCUUCAGAACUUGUCGAAACACCAACUCGAGAUUUCCAGCCCGUGGUCGAGUUUCUGUUGCCAUUCGCGAUUCCGUUCGAGGUCUUCAGGUCCCUGUUCCGGUUGUGGUCAUUUUCGGUACAUGAGGUUUAAGGACCCAAGAAUAUGGAAAUGAAAGCAAAAAGCCACUAAAAGACAAGAAAAGAGCAAAAUGUAGCAAAAAUAUGGAUAUGCGACGCAUUAUGCGAUCGCAAAUCCUACAUGCGAGUCGCAUAAGGUGCAAAGGAUAGCAAAUCAAAAUAGAAAGUUAUUCAAAAUCUGAUGCAAGAAAUGCGGUCCAGAAUGCGAUCGCAUAACAGGUUUGCGGACCGCAACCGCUAACUCAUGAAGAGAAGUGCUAAUGGUGGAAAAUGCGACGCAGAAUGCGAUCGCAUAGCUGGAAUGCGGUACGCAAACCCACAAUGCAACAACGGCCUAGAAAUUAGGGUUUUGAAGUGCGAUGGGCAUGAAGAGAAUGCGGACCGCAUGUCUGAUUUGCGACAAAAAUGCGGUCGCACACUUGACCUGAAAGGGCAUUUUUGUCCGUUUUCUAUCUUGAUUUUUGGCCCUCUAUAAAUAGAUUUAUUGUGAUUUUGUGGGCUCAUCUGGUCUGACUUUGAAGAUACAAUACAAGGCAUUAAUAUUCCUCUCUUUUGGAAACUUUUGGGUCAAGAAUCUUUCACUUUGUAAGCUUUAUGGCAUUAAAUAGUUUCUUCCUUUUGUAUUUUAGCAUGUGUAGCUAACUUUAAAUACUAAGGUUUUGGACCCUAAAUGUGUAUUAUGUUAAUGAGUGUUUAACAUUGAAUAUAUAUAUAAUGGUUGGGUGAUAUUUAUUUA